AAACCAACUGGGAUUACCUUAGUAACGGCGAGUGAAGCGGUAAAAGCUCAAAUUUGAAAUCUGGUACUUUCAGUGCCCGAGUUGUAAUUUGUAGAAUUUGUCUUUGAUUAGGUCCUUGUCUAUGUUCCUUGGAACAGGACGUCAUAGAGGGUGAGAAUCCCGUUUGGCGAGGAUACCUUUUCUUUGUAAGACUUUUUCGAAGAGUCGAGUUGUUUGGGAAUGCAGCUCAAAGUGGGUGGUAAAUUCCAUCUAAAGCUAAAUAUUGGCGAGAGACCGAUAGCGAACAAGUACAGUGAUGGAAAGAUGAAAAGAACUUUGAAAAGAGAGUGAAAAAGUACGUGAAAUUGUUGAAAGGGAAGGGCAUUUGAUCAGACAUGGUGUUUUUGCAUGCACUCGCCUCUCGUGGGCUUGGGCCUCUCAAAAAUUUCACUGGGCCAACAUCAAUUUUGGCAGCAGGAUAAAUCAUUAAGAAUGUAGCUACUUCGGUAGUGUUAUAGCUUUUUGGAAUACUGUUAGCCGGGAUUGAGGUA
rnacentral:rRNA from 1 species